GAUGAACGCUGGCGGCGUGCCUAAUACAUGCAAGUCGAGCGAACGGACGAGAAGCUUGCUUCUCUGAUGUUAGCGGCGGACGGGUGAGUAACACGUGGAUAACCUACCUAUAAGACUGGGAUAACUUCGGGAAACCGGAGCUAAUACCGGAUAAUAUUUUGAACCGCAUGGUUCAAAAGUGAAAGACGGUCUUGCUGUCACUUAUAGAUGGAUCCGCGCUGCAUUAGCUAGUUGGUAAGGUAACGGCUUACCAAGGCAACGAUGCAUAGCCGACCUGAGAGGGUGAUCGGCCACACUGGAACUGAGACACGGUCCAGACUCCUACGGGAGGCAGCAGUAGGGAAUCUUCCGCAAUGGUCGAAAGCCUGACGGAGCAACGCCGCGUGAGUGAUGAAGGUCUUCGGAUCGUAAAACUCUGUUAUUAGGGAAGGACAUAUGUGUAAGUAACUGUGCACAUCUUGACGGUACCUAAUCAGAAAGCCACGGCUAACUACGUGCCAGCAGCCGCGGUAAUACGUAGGUGGCAAGCGUUAUCCGGAAUUAUUGGGCGUAAAGCGCGCGUAGGCGGUUUUUUAAGUCUGAUGUGAAAGCCCACGGCUCAACCGUGGAGGGUCAUUGGAAACUGGAAAACUUGAGUGCAGAAGAGGAAAGUGGAAUUCCAUGUGUAGCGGUGAAAUGCGCAGAGAUAUGGAGGAACACCAGUGGCGAAGGCGACUUUCUGGUCUGUAACUGACGCUGAUGUGCGAAAGCGUGGGGAUCAAACAGGAUUAGAUACCCUGGUAGUCCACGCCGUAAACGAUGAGUGCUAAGUGUUAGGGGGUUUCCGCCCCUUAGUGCUGCAGCUAACGCAUUAAGCACUCCGCCUGGGGAGUACGACCGCAAGGUUGAGACUCAAAGGAAUUGACGGGGACCCGCACAAGCGGUGGAGCAUGUGGUUUGAUUCGAAGCAACGCGAAGAACCUUACCAAAUCUUGACAUCCUUUGACAACUCUAGAGAUAGAGCCUUCCCCUUCGGGGGACAAAGUGACAGGUGGUGCAUGGUUGUCGUCAGCUCGUGUCGUGAGAUGUUGGGUUAAGUCCCGCAACGAGCGCAACCCUUAAGCUUAGUUGCCAUCAUUAAGUUGGGCACUCUAAGUUGACUGCCGGUGACAAACCGGAGGAAGGUGGGGAUGACGUCAAAUCAUCAUGCCCCUUAUGAUUUGGGCUACACACGUGCUACAAUGGACAAUACAAAGGGCAGCGAAACCGCGAGGUCAAGCAAAUCCCAUAAAGUUGUUCUCAGUUCGGAUUGUAGUCUGCAACUCGACUACAUGAAGCUGGAAUCGCUAGUAAUCGUAGAUCAGCAUGCUACGGUGAAUACGUUCCCGGGUCU
rnacentral:rRNA from 1 species